GACGAACGCUGGCGGCGUGCCUAAUACAUGCAAGUCGAGCGGACGUUUUUGAAGCUUGCUUCAAAAACGUUAGCGGCGGACGGGUGAGUAACACGUGGGCAACCUACCUUAUCGACUGGGAUAACUCCGGGAAACCGGGGCUAAUACCGGAUAACAUCUAGCACCUCCUGGUGCCGGAUUAAAAGAGGGCUUCUUGCUCUCACGAGGAGAUGGGCCAGCGGCGCAUUAGCUAGUUGGAGAGGUAACGGCUCCCCAAGGCGACGAUGCGUAGCCGACCUGAGAGGGUGAUCGGCCACACUGGGACUGAGACACGGCCCAGACUCCUACGGGAGGCAGCAGUAGGGAAUCUUCCGCAAUGGACGAAAGUCUGACGGAGCAACGCCGCGUGAGUGAUGAAGGGUUUCGGCUCGUAAAGCUCUGUUAUGAGGGAAGAACACGUACCGUUCGAAUAGGGCGGUACCUUGACGGUACCUCAUCAGAAAGCCACGGCUAACUACGUGCCGGCCGCCGCCGUAACAC
rnacentral:rRNA from 1 species